AAACCAACAGGGAUUGCCUCAGUAGCGGCGAGUGAAGCGGCAAGAGCUCAGAUUUGAAAUCUCACCUAGUGUGCGAGUUGUAAAUUGCAGGUUGGAGUCUCGGGUUAGACGUGUGUGCAAGUCCCUUGGAACAGGGUGCCACUGAGGGUGAGAGCCCCGUAGCGUGCAUGUCGACACCUGUGAGGCCCUUCUGACGAGUCGAGUUGUUUGGGAAUGCAGCUCUAAGUGGGUGGUAAAUUCCAUCUAAGGCUAAAUAUUGGCGAGAGACCGAUAGCGAACAAGUACUGUGAAGGAAAGAUGAAAAGCACUUUGAAAAGAGAGUGAAACAGCACGUGAAAUUGUUGAAAGGGAAGGGUAUUGGGCUCGACAUGGGAUUUACGCAUCGUUGCCUCUCGUGGGCGGCGCUCUGGGUUUUUCCUGGGCCAGCAUCGGUUUUCGUUGCAGGAUAAGGACAAUUGGAAUGUGGCUCCUCGGAGUGUUAUAGCCUUUUGUAGAUGCUGCGUAUGGGGACCGAGGGCUGCGGCGGACUCGUUUCGUCUCGGAUGCUGGCACAACGGCGCAAUACCGCCCGCUG
rnacentral:rRNA from 1 species